AGCGAACGCUGGCGGCAGGCUUAACACAUGCAAGUCGAACGGGCACUUCGGUGCUAGUGGCAGACGGGUGAGUAACACGUGGGAACGUACCUUUCGGUUCGGAAUAGUACAGGGAAACUUGUACUAAUACCGGAUACGCCCUUCGGGGGAAAGAUUUAUCGCCGAUAGAUCGGCCCGCGUCUGAUUAGCUAGUUGGUGAGGUAAUGGCUCACCAAGGCGACGAUCAGUAGCUGGUCUGAGAGGAUGAUCAGCCACACUGGGACUGAGACACGGCCCAGACUCCUACGGGAGGCAGCAGUGGGGAAUAUUGGACAAUGGGCGAAAGCCUGAUCCAGCCAUGCCGCGUGAGUGAUGAAGGCCUUAGGGUUGUAAAGCUCUUUUGUCCGGGAAGAUAAUGACUGUACCGGAAGAAUAAGCCCCGGCUAACUUCGUGCCAGCCGCCGCAGUAAUAC
rnacentral:rRNA from 1 species